rnacentral:rRNA from 1 species
UACGGAGGGGGCUAGCGUUGUUCGGAAUUACUGGGCGUAAAGUGCACGUAGGCGGACUGGAAAGUCAGGGGUGAAAUCCCGGGGCUCAACCCCGGAACUGCCUUUGAAACUCCCGGUCUUGAGGUCGAGAGAGGUGAGUGGAAUUCCGAGUGUAGAGGUGAAAUUCGUAGAUAUUCGGAGGAACACCAGUGGCGAAGGCUGCUCACUGGCUCGAUACUGACGCUGAGGUGCGAAAGCGUGGGGAGCAAACAGG